GACGAACGCUGGCGGCGUGCUUAACACAUGCAAGUCGAACGGAAAGGCCCUGCUUUUGUGGGUUGCUCGAGUGGCGAACGGGUGAGUAACACGUGAGUAACCUGCCCUUGACUGUGGGAUAACUUCAGGAAACUGGGGCUAAUACCGGAUAGGAGCUCCUGCUGCAUGUUGGGGGUUGGAAAGUUUCGGCGGUUGGGUAUGGACUCGCGGCUUAUCAGCUUGUUGGUGGGGUAGUGGCUUACCAAGGCUUUGACGGGUAGCCGGCAUGAGAGGGUGACCGGCCACAUUGGGACUGAGAUACGGCCCAGACUCGUACGGGAGGCAGCAGUGGGGAAUAUUGCACAAUGGGCGGAAGCCUGAUGCAGCAACGCCGCGUGCGGGAUGACGGCCUUCGGGUUGUAAACCGCUUUCGCCUGUGACGAAGCGUGAGUGACGGUAAUGGGUAAAGAAGCAACGGCUAACUACGUG
rnacentral:rRNA from 1 species